UACGUAGGGUGCGAGCGUUGUCCGGAAUUAUUGGGCGUAAAGGGCUCGUAGGCGGUCUGUCGCGUCGGGAGUGAAAACUCAGGGCUUAACCCUGAGCCUGCUUCCGAUACGGGCAGACUAGAGGUAUGCAGGGGAGAACGGAAUUCCUGGUGUAGCGGUGAAAUGCGCAGAUAUCAGGAAGAACACCCGUGGCGAAGGCGGUUCUCUGGGACGGUACUGACGCUGAGACGCGAAAGCGUGGGGAGCGAACAGG
rnacentral:rRNA from 1 species